rnacentral:rRNA from 1 species
CUACGGGACGCUCCAGUGGGGAAUUUUGGACAAUGGGGGCAACCCUGAUCCAGCCAUGCCGCGUGAGUGAAGAAGGCCUUCGGGUUGUAAAGCUCUUUCAGCCGGGAAGAAAUCGCAUGGGUUAAUACCCUGUGCGGAUGACGGUACCGGAAUAAGAAGCACCGGCUAACUACGUGCCAGCAGCCGCGGUAAUACGUAGGGUGCGAGCGUUAAUCGGAAUUACUGGGCAUAAAGCGUGCGCAGGCGGAUGCUUAAGUCAGAUGUGAAAUCCCCGGGCUUAACCUGGGAAUUGCAUUUGAAACUGGGUGUCUAGAGUGCGUCAGAGGGGGGUGGAAUUCCACGUGUAGCAGUGAAAUGCGUAGAUAUGUGGAGGAACACCAAUGGCGAAGGCAGCCCCCUGGGAUGACACUGACGCUCAUGCACGAAAGCGUGGGGAGCAAACAGGAUUAGAUACCCGUGUAGUC